UAAUACGGAGGGUGCAAGCGUUAAUCGGAAUUACUGGGCGUAAAGCGUGCGUAGGCGGUUCGUUAAGUCAGAUGUGAAAGCCCCGGGCUUAACCUGGGAACUGCAUUUGAAACUGGCGGACUUGAGUUGAGUAGAGGGGAGUGGAAUUUCAGGUGUAGCGGUGAAAUGCGUAGAUAUCUGAAGGAACACCAGUGGCGAAGGCGACUCCCUGGACUCAAACUGACGCUGAGGUACGAAAGCGUGGGUAGCAAACAGGAUUAGAUACCCUGGUAGUCCACGCUGUAAACGAUGUCAACUAGCCGUUGGUCCUAUUUACAGGAUUAGUGGCGCAGCUAACGCAUUAAGUUGACCGCCUGGGGAGUACGGCCGCAAGGUUAAAACUCAAAUGAAUUGACGG
rnacentral:rRNA from 1 species